UAGGAAUCUUCCACAAUGGACGCAAGUCUGAUGGAGCAACGCCGCGUGAGUGAAGAAGGCUUUUCGGGUCGUAAAACUCUGUUAUUGAAGAAGAACGUGUGUGACAGUAACUGGUCAUGCGGUGACGGUAUUCAAUCAGAAAGUCACGGCUAACUACGUGCCAGCAGCCGCGGUAAUACGUAGGUGGCAAGCGUUGUCCGGAUUUAUUGGGCGUAAAGCGAGUGCAGGCGGUCUUUUAAGUCUGAUGUGAAAGCCUUCGGCUUAACCGAAGAAGGGCAUCGGAAAUCUGGGAG
rnacentral:rRNA from 1 species